rnacentral:rRNA from 1 species
ACGGGAGGCAGCAGUGGGGAAUAUUGGGCAAUGGGCGCAAGCCUGACCCAGCAACGCCGCGUGAAGGAUGAAGGUCUUCGGAUUGUAAACUUCUUUGAUCAGGGACGAAUUUUGACGGUACCUGAAGAACAAGUCACGGCUAACUACGUGCCAGCAGCCGCGGUAAUACGUAGGUGACAAGCGUUAUCCGGAUUUACUGGGUGUAAAGGGCGUGUAGGCGGGACAUCAAGUCAGAUGUGAAAGCACGAGGCUCAACUUCGUGUCUGCAUUUGAAACUGACGUUCUUGAGUGUUGGAGAGGCUAACGGAACUCCUAGUGUAGCGGUGAAAUGCGUAGAUAUUAGGAAGAACACCAGUGGCGAAGGCGGUUAGCUGGACAAUAACUGACGCUGAGGCGCGAAAGCGUGGGUAGCAAACAGGAUUAGAUACCCUGGUA